rnacentral:ribozyme from 1 species
UUUGUCUGGUUCUGUUUUCGUUUUUGUUUUUUUUUGCAAUCUUUUUUUUUUUGAGGUGGCCCAACGACAAGAGGAUGGUUUCUGUGGGAUAGGAUUUGAGGAGCCAGGGAUGGAAUUUUAGUCGAAGGACUGGUUGACUGGAAGAAAAAAACAGAAAAGGGAGGCAUUUAGCUUUUUUUUUUUUUGU